rnacentral:tRNA from 4 species
CCGACCUUAGCUCAGUUGGUAGAGCGGAGGACUGUAGAUCCUUAGGUCACUGGUUCGAAUCCGGUAGGUCGGACCA